rnacentral:rRNA from 1 species
CCUACGGGUGGCAGCAGUGGGGAAUAUUGGGCAAUGGGCGCAAGCCUGACCCAGCAACGCCGCGUGAAGGAAGAAGGCCUUCGGGUUGUAAACUUCUUUUAAGGGGGAAGAGCAGAAGACGGUACCCCUUGAAUAAGCUACGGCUAACUACGUGCCAGCAGCCGCGGUAAUACGUAGGUGGCAAGCGUUGUCCGGAUUUACUGGGUGUAAAGGGCGUGCAGCCGGAGAGACAAGUCAGAUGUGAAAUCCACGGGCUCAACCCGUGAACUGCAUUUGAAACUGGUUCCCUUGAGUGUCGGAGAGGUAAUCGGAAUUCCUUGUGUAGCGGUGAAAUGCGUAGAUAUAAGGAAGAACACCAGUGGCGAAGGCGGAUUACUGGACGAUAACUGACGGUGAGGCGCGAAAGCGUGGGGAGCAAACAGGAUUAGAUACCCGGGUAGUC